rnacentral:rRNA from 1 species
GAUGAACGCUGGCGGCGUGCCUAAUACAUGCAAGUCGAGCGAACAGACGAGGAGCUUGCUCCUCUGACGUUAGCGGCGGACGGGUGAGUAACACGUGGAUAACCUACCUAUAAGACUGGGAUAACUUCGGGAAACCGGAGCUAAUACCGGAUAAUAUAUUGAACCGCAUGGUUCAAUAGUGAAAGACGGUUUUGCUGUCACUUAUAGAUGGAUCCGCGCCGCAUUAGCUAGUUGGUAAGGUAACGGCUUACCAAGGCAACGAUGCGUAGCCGACCUGGGAGGGGGAUCGGCCACACUGGAACUGAGACACGGUCCAGACUCCUACGGGAGGCAGCAGUAGGGAAUCUCCGCAAUGGGCGAAAGCCUGACGGAGCAACGCCGCGUGAGUGAUGAAGGUCUUCGGAUCGUAAAACUCUGUUAUUAGGGAAGAACAAAUGUGUAAGUAACUAUGCACGUCUUGACGGUACCUAAUCAGAAAGCCACGGCUAACUACGUGCCAGCCGCCGCAGUAA